rnacentral:tRNA from 1 species
GACUUCGUGGUGUAAAAGUAACAUACUCGGCCCGUAUCUGGGAUGUCCAGGUUCGAGUCCAGGCGAGGGCA